rnacentral:misc_RNA from 1 species
UACACGCUUCCACGAUGCACAACAAAAAUUAUGUUUAAAUACCAGUGCUUUGCUAGAAGUUAACAGCUCAAUAUUUAUGUGUAUAAUUGUUGAUUUAAUUUUGACAUUAAUUUGUAACUAAAAUAGGCUGGCCCAGGCAUUGGCGGAAUGCCUUAGUGCGUUAUGGUUUCAACACAGGCACGACCAGUUUCCUUUGUCUUGUUAAGCUACGUAUAUGACUUGUCUUUGCACAAUUUUAAGCACUGUUAUAUUUUUGGGAUCCCGCUCCUUCAAAAUUGUCUCAAGGGACCAAAAUGGCUGCCUUUUGUAGUUGGGGUAGGUCUUCUACCGUUAUUAAUUUUCAUUUUGAAUCUUUUGAGCAAGAAAGGCCUACCAUUUGUUUCUGGAAAUAAAUGACCAGUAUCAUCUUAGGCCUACUAUUUUCAUUUUUACUUCCAUUCUCACCUCCCUGUUUUCUCUAUUUUCCCGCUCUGAUCUUUCUAGCUAACAAAGUUGGCUUGAAAUUCUGCUGUAGUUGAGAACAUCGGAGCUACUGCAUUGUAAUAGAACCACUUUCUACACUUAAAAAAUGUUAGUCUGAUAUGAAAUUGCUUACACUGUUACAGUUUGUGAUCUUAACCAUUUGAUCUCUGCAACCAUGAGUUCAGCAUGCGUGAUCUUUGUGCUGUUCUUGGAAUGGAUUUCUUCAGUAUCAUAACUAAAGUUCAUCCAAGCAUAAAUGACUCUACUAGUGUGCACUCCAGAAGCAUUAGUAAUGAUGCAUUAGCAAGGGUGGCUAAGACGGUCUUAACACUAUAAGAUACGAAGCAAAGGCUUCAUAAGGAUUCCAGUCUUGUAUGGUAUUGAGUACUGACUUUCCCUUUUCUUCAAGAAAAGACUUAACCUUUAGACCACAAGCAAAUCAAAAUUCAGCAAUGGAGAGAUUCCGGAAAGGAUAACUUGAUUCUGCUUAGACCCUUACAAUUUCACAUAAGCAUACUUGAAGAAAUUUCAACCAUUUCAAUAAGUUUGUGCAUGCUUGUUAUCACCAAUAUCAUAGCAUAUGAAGAAACUUUUUCUUUUCUUUGUAAUUUACUUUUGAA